GGAGGCUAUAUACAGGGGGUACCGGUACAGAGUCAAUGUGGAGGCUAUAUACAGGGGGUACCGGUACAGAGUCAAUGUGGAGGCUAUAUACAGGGGGUACCGGUACAGAGUCAAUGUGGAGGCUAUAUACAGGGGGUACUGGUACAGAGUCAAUGUGGAGACUAUAUACAGGGGGUACCAGUACAGAGUCAAUGUGGAGGCUGUAUACAGGGGGUAUCGGUACAAAGUCAAUGUGGAGGCUAUAUACAGGGGGUACCGGUACAGAGUCAAUGUGGAGGCUAUAUACAGGGGGUACCGGUACAGAGUCA
ensembl:lncRNA